UACCGUUUCAUAGCUGAUACAUCUGAUGAAAAAGUUAUGAUGAAAUUGUGCAUUCAUUUCCAAGGAUCAGAUGCUACAGACGAGUCGUUUUUUGAACAGAUUCGAACCUUCAAGGAGGCAAAAAAAUGAUUUUACAAUUGCUGUCUCUAAUCAUAUCUGCUUCAGAAGUUUCAAAUACCGGCGAAGAACAACGUAAAUGUAGCACCUUUAAGGAUCUCACUAAGACGCGCGAAUUCAUUGACAAAUCCAUGCUGAUCAAAUUCAUUCUGGAUAACCACUGGCAUAUCUACAUUGAGGCUCCUCCUGGCUUUGGCAAGACCACAAACCUGCAAAUGCUCCGGGAUUUCUUUUCCUUGGAUGUCAAUUCUCAUGGAUACUCUAUUAACGCGGCAGAGAUCCUAAAAACUGACAAAACCUUUCAAGAUAUUGGUAAAAGGCGUAAAGGUCUACGGAACACCUUAGCAAAACGCGUAUCUUUCGAGAAUGACACCGAAAGCCAAUCCGUUCCCGUCUACGAGAACGCCACGAAAACUUUCAGCGUCUCCAAAAAGCCUUUGAAAAACUAUGAUACUUUUUCGAAGCCACCACUGAGAAUACUGCAGGAGUCGCCGCAGUUAUUUGAGACCCAGUUUGCUCGAUAUCCUGUCCUCUUCAUGGACUUUGAAAAUUUGUCGACACAGUCCUUACAAGAUUACAUACGCACUUUCAAAGUAAUGGUUUCGAAGCUUUUCGAUCAAUUUAAGUACUUGUUAAAAAGUAACAGACUAACCAGAGGCAAUAAGGAUGAAUAUUUACUCUUCCGUGACCAGGUUAUAGGACUGAGCAUGAACGAGGUAACGCUCGGAGGAGUAAAACUGGCCGGACUCUUGUCAGCACAUCAUCACCGAAAAGCGAUAGUUUUAAUCGACAGCUUUGACGUACCGAUACGUGAAGCUCUCUUGGCGCCACACCUCGACACAGAAAGCUACAGGGAGAUUGCAUGGAGUAUUUCCCGGAUGGUGAAGGGGCUAUAACUGAAAGCAGGUUUGUUCAUCGAACCGUAGUAACAGGCAGUCUCCGAAUCGAAAUCACAGAUGGACUGAUGCAUUUCCACAUCUUUGAUGACGAAUCUCUGAAUCGGUAUUACGGCCUCACAGACUAUGAUAUUUUAGAACUUGCGAAACGCUCUAGUGGACAGAAGAAUAUCGCCAACGUCAGAAAUUGGUACGGUGGUUACAAAGCAGCGAGCAAAGGUCAUGAUAUCUACAACACACGCUCAACGAUGAGCUACUUCAAGACAGGUGUAUUCAAGCCUUACCGAUUUGAGUCCAUCAAAUUUAAAACCUUAAAAACUCUCCUAGCAUUUAGAAAGUUAGGUUGUGACGUGGAAGAUGCAUUCGAUGAUAAAACGCGGCUCCGUAUUCGGCAGAAGAUUUCGUGGCGACGUUUCAGGCAACUGCGACGAACGAUAUUUUCCUCCAAUCAAACGGUCCUCCAUAGGAGUCUGUUCCUGCAAAUUCUCCUCGACCAUGGCUUUUAUACCAUUCAAGAUGGAAAUACACUCCACGUGCCGAACUUCGAGGCAAUGCUGGACAUAAAAAACUUAAUAUUCGACCGUGGAUACUACAUCAACAAACUAAACAUCCCCGACCAGACUAUUGACAACUUUGUGCAGAGCAUCGAGCGCCUGACUGGCGAGGAUACGUCAUUUCACAAAUUUUUCGCAGCCGUCGCAGAACUCUUCAAAAACCGCGUGCCACGAGGUGCACGAGAAUUGGCGCACACCUUGGUCACUUUAGUGGCUGACGCUCGCAAGUUUAGCCUGUUACGUGGUCAGAAAACUCCGGAAAGUGGCCGGCAAGAUGUCCUCGUGAAGCGAUCCACGGAAAUUGGAAUCGUGAUUGGGAUUCUGGUUGGGUCGAUAGAUGAAGAAACGCUAAAACCUGUUUAUCACAAGAGUUUACAAGUGUUUCCAGACUGUAAAUUUAGGGUUGCGAUCUUGUUAGGUUUAAAACCGCGCGGAGCAACCGGAGAUCUUGACAUUUUGUAUGCAUUUGACAAUCGUACUAUUGUAGACAGCAGUACGUACCGAUAUGAUUCGCGUGUCACUACAGAUGCCACUUCGUCAUUGAAAAAACUAGUGGUCGGCCAUGACGUCGUCCUUUCAAAAGUCGGCAGUCGAACUUGAAAGGUAUCACUACGACAAGCGCACCGUUGAGAAAAAGAGAGGUUAAUAGUCGGAGCAAACAGCAACUUAAUUCGGACGAUUACUUUUACUUCUCAGCAUUACAAAAUUUUCCUCCUAAUUUAAGUUUUGAACAAAAAAGACAAAACAUAAAUAGACUGCAUUUCGCAAAUAGGAACUAUAUAUUCUAGCUUGGUUUGGAAAGAACGUAUGUUGCAUUAACUUUUCAAUACACAUGAGUGUUUUUACGAAAGAGCCAGAAAUUGUAGUUUCCAAUAGCAAAAUGUAGUCCAAAUGAGAACUACAUGUUUUGAAGAGAUCAAUCUCUUCAAUCUAAAAAAAUUCGCUCCCUUAAAUGUAAAUUUCUGUACUUAUAUUGUAUCUUAUAUUGAAUAUUAUAAUUUUUUCCGAAAGAAAUAGAUUUAUUUGACACCAAUGUAUCAUACGUGAAAAUUAAAUGCAUGUUGAUUUACGGAUUUAUAAAGGACACGUUUAGAGCAUCAUAAUUGGACAGCUUUAUGCAAUAAGGAACUAGGGUCAAAUUUUCGAUUUUUUUUUUAUGAUGAAUUCCGUAUCAGGAGGGUAUUUACUUACUAUUGAGAAAAAGAAAAUCCUCAAAAACGAUUUUUAUCCCGCUUCAGCGACCCCUCAAAAAUUUGCCGUCGCAGGAUCACGUGAGGUUCAUUUUGCAAUUGGGACCUAUACUAUGGUUCCCUAUUCCGUAAUGCGAAACUCGGAUUACGGAACGGCGGCGGAAAGGUGAAUCAACACUUAACAAGAUCAGACAUGCUUUUUUCGGCCAUUUUUGUUUCGUGAAUGUUGAUGAUUUUUAUUAAGUUUUAUGAAGUGUUAUGAAGUUUCAUUCGUCCAAGACUUGUAGGUGUACAGACUGAAGAAGGCCAGGAAGAAAAGUAAGUGUUUGUUUUUAUCACAAUUUUAUUAUUUUUAUAUGGGACAAAAGCUUGGACAAAUACUCUAGGUUGCUGUUUCAAAUAUUGCCGCCAUGUAGUUUUCUCAAUGAUUGGCUGAAACUAAUAAACACAACAAACAGCUGAUUUAUUACAAUACAUGUGUCAUUAUUUUGAAAGUAAACGAAAGUAGAGUGCUUCAUUCGCCAGAAUGUUACGACGAAGUCAUUAGUAUUUUCCGUAUUGCAGUUGCCCUUACUGUGUAUAAAAUAAUGAAACAAAAAAUGUUUCUAGCAUCGACCAACUACUGACAUACUUUCAGCGACAAUAAUUUACUUUAAUACUGGAUCCGUUCUUUGUGCUGUGAUGUGAUCAGUCCCAACACCUAAGUGGAACUAUAAUUAUUAUAAUAAUUACAUGUUUCCCAAUUUCCAACCAAUUUUUCAUCCAGCACCAGCAUCAUCCUUUCAUCCUUCGCCUCAGGACCAGCAGAUCAGGUAAUCAAACAAUUUUUUUUUUUGCAAGGAUUCCUUAUUCAUUAUAUUUGUGCAAACAGUGCGGUGCUCAGACACCGCAGGAUGAAAAGUGGCAACUUCUAAUAUGAGAGACUCUUUAAAACCAUGAUGCGUUUUUGUCAAAGUAGGUGCGCUUGCCGUAUUGUAGGUACAACACUCAAUUGGCAGCAAUUAUUGUGAGAUGUUCUUUCAAAGUGAAAUUAGCCGUAGCUGAUUCUUCAUUGGUGGAGAUGUCUGCUCAAAAAAAUUGGGUAGAAAAACCCCCGCAAAGUCAUUUUAAAGUGAGGAUAAAAAGUAGUCUAUAAAAGAAAUAGGUAGUUUACAGGAAGGGGGGGGGGUUGAAAAAUCAACCUGAAUGACUUCAGAAGUAGAUUUCUUCUGAUGUAUGGGAUCCUGGAUGUUGUAUGGAACAUUGGAUAUUCAAAUUGAAUUUUCCUGGAGUUGAAUCAAAAUUUUGAUGUGACCAUUCAGAGUUGUUUUCUGACUGUACCUAACUGAAGUUAUUUGAAAUGAAAAAGAUAAAGUGAAAUCAUCUGCAAGUUAAUAAAUUAAAAUUUUGGCAGACGCAUUUCGAGCUGCGGCCCAUCCUCAGUGCAACUUUGUUUUGUUCUCUGUAAUUUUUAUGUUCAGCUUUGGAAUGAGCACUAUUCCAGUAGUAAGUUUGAAAACAAGGAAGUAAAGAACUGACCCAACUUCCCAAAUUCACGAAGGGUGUCUAUUAUUUUAAUGUACUUUUUGAUCCUACUUUCAAUCAUAUACUAUAGAUUCUUCAACAUCUUUUGUUGAUUUCCCCUCAGGUUCCGAAUCCCAUGCAGGUGCUUCAAGAAGGUUACCAAGUGGUCAAUAAAAUGAGGACCAUGACGGACAGCUUCUCAAGUUUCUUAGGUAAUUUGGGCAGAACAUUCCAGAUGAAUUAUGGAAGUAAUAAUUUUCCUGCCCCUGUUCUUAAUGCGUCUUGUGUGAUUAACCCCAGUAUUAGUCCUGAAACUGAAACUGAGGUGAGAAUGGAAGGAGGUUCAUGUUUAGAAUCUAAUGUUUGUGCUACGCCGGAGACCGAGCCAGAGCUUGAGCUAGAGCCUGAGCCUGAGCCAGAGCCUGCACCAAUUAGUGAAAAUGUUGGCAGGCCCAAGAGGGGCAGAAAGAGAAAAUAUAAGAUGACGAGGGAGGAAAAGAAAGUGAAGAAGGAUACAUAUGAAGAAUAUGAGAACUAUUAUGGGAAGUUUGUGCAGGGGAAGGGUUUUAGGGAGUAUCUAUGUAUUUGCCACAGGGAAUGUCACAGGAAAGUGUCUGUUGAGGAAAGACUGUCACAUUUUAACCGGUUCAAAAACUGUGGUAGUUUCAACACCCAGACCGCCAUGAUAAAAACAUAUGUAGUAGAAAAACCUGCAAGCAAAAUUUCGGAUGAGUCUGAAAGGAAAUAUACCCGAAGAUAUAAAAUUGGAGAAGUGGAAUUUUGCCAACCAUUUCUUUGCCAAACUUUGAGGAUCUUAACCAAAAGAGUGAGCACGGCUUUGAAAAAAUUUAAAACGGAGAAUAUUUUAGAGCGGAGAAACAGCAACGGUGGUCACAACAAACUCUCCGAGUCAAGAGUGGCAGAGGUUAAGGAGCACAUCCAAAAAAUUCCAAAAUACAAAUCUCACUAUUGUAGAAAUGUAACCGAAACCCAAUUUUUGCCGCAUUAUAUGACCCUUCAAAGAAUUUAUCAAAUGUAUUGUAAGAAUUAUUUUGAUCCGGUUUCUUUUAGCGCUUUUCGGCUAAUUUAUCACUCCAAUUUCAACCUCCGACGCAAGCCACUUUGAAAACUUCCUCCGUAAAAUAAAACAAACAGCCAGAGGUCCAGCCAGAUCACUGCAGCAAAUUUACAAGCGCAUUGAAGAAAGAAGCCGCUGUAAAGCUCUAGAUAAAUUGUAUGGUCCUGGUCUGCCUCCUCCAGAAGAAGUAACAUUUCAAAUUUCUCACAAUGAUGGACCUCUACUCCCCUCAUGCACAAAUCCUCAGUUUAAAAAAGCUAUCUCUUCAAACUUUAAUCUAUCGGCCUCAAGUGAGGCUGAUUGCUUUUGUCAAUUUUCGUCUGGAUCUAUUGUGAAGUAGGAAAAUUUUGCAUUCUCAGAACGUGGAGAACGCUUGGUGAUAGGUCGAAAGUACACCGACUUGACAUCCUUCUAUGCCGAUCCAUUCAUGACUAGUGAUAAAUUUGGCAUUUUCAAAGCUUCCAAGUUAUCAGAGCUUAAGUCAUGGAAUGUUUCCUCAAUCUCUACUCAAUACAUGGGACUUCCAGACGAUUAAGGCAAUAUUAUUUUGUUUCCAUUAGUUCAUUGUUUAACAUAGCUUUUUUUAUUCGUAAUUUACUAUUGUCCCAGUUGAUCUGUUACUGGUCAGUUAUCAGUGGAGUAGUUCUUUCUUUUAAGAGAAGAAAUGAUGAAAACACACCUAUUGAAAGAAAGCUUAUCUUACUUGACAUGUUGUCUCUAUGCUCUCCUGUUUAAAAGUCAACUGUCAUUAGGUGCUAUUGCCUUUAAAACAUUUUUUUCUAAUAUCUUUCCUUCGCCUCAUAAGUAUUUUAAUGGGCUCAUUUUCUUGUCUCAGGGUUAUUCAUUUCCUUUGUUCAUCAUAAUUUAAUUUCAGAAGUUUUUUAUCAUAAUUUAAUCGCCGAUUAUUUGUCAUGGUUUAAUCGAUUUUUGUCUCGUCGGUUUUGAAGUAUCAGAGGUCUUCCACAUUUUUGCUUAUUUUUUGCUGGUAUACUGAGUUCAAUAUCUGUCAAUUAAAUUUAAAUCUCUCAACGUGAUUUCUCAACACAGUUUACGUAGCAGUUUGUUACAAUUUUUCUCUUGAUCUUGCUUAGUCUUUGGUUAUUACCGAGUUGACUUACAAUUAGGCGGAGAGUAAGUAAAUUGUCAAUUUUAUCAUCAUUUCAAGAGUAAGUAAUUUUCCUUUUUUUUACUGUACCCUCAUAAUUUUAUUCCGAAAAUUUCACUCAAUUCAAUUUCGGUUUGCAUUUGCUCCAUCCCCUUUAAAUAUUUUAAAAUCAUAAUGUAGAGGAGGAUGAUAGAGACGAGCUACCCCAAUAUUUCAUAGACAUAGCUCAUUUCACAGCUCCUUGUAUAAGGAGAUAUCAACAACAAUGAUUUUAGAACAGCGUUUGUCACUUUCAGUUAGUUUACUUAAUUUUGUCCUUUUAUAAAUCCCUGACUUCAUGAAUCUUUAUCUUUUUGUAGCUGUAAAAUGUGGACUGUCAUCAAGAAGAAAGAUUUUGAUGAGUUUGAAAAAUGUUAGAAAGAGGAGAACGAAUCAGCAAACAUGCAUACGAACUAAUUCAAAUAAUCAAGUACAAGGAUUACG
rnacentral:lncRNA from 1 species